rnacentral:rRNA from 1 species
GGGGCUCGUAUGACGCGGGCUGGACCUCUCGGGGUUACAGCCUUGCUGAAUUAUUCACCCUUGUCUUUUGCGUACUUCUUGUUUCCUUGGUGGGUUCGCCCACCACUAGGACAAACAUAAACCUUUUGUAAUUGCAAUCAGCGUCAGUAACAAAUUAAUAAUUACAACUUUCAACAACGGAUCUCUUGGUUCUGGCAUCGAUGAAGAACGCAGCGAAAUGCGAUAAGUAGUGUGAAUUGCAGAAUUCAGUGAAUCAUCGAAUCUUUGAACGCACAUUGCGCCCUUUGGUAUUCCAAAGGGCAUGCCUGUUCGAGCGUCAUUUGUACCCUCAAGCUUUGCUUGGUGUUGGGCGUCUUGUCUCUAGCUUUGCUGGAGACUCGCCUUAAAGUAAUUGGCAGCCGGCCUACUGGUUUCGGAGCGCAGCACAAGUCGCACUCUCUAUCAGCAAAGGUCUAGCAUCCAUUAAGCCUUUUUUUCAACUUUUGACCUCGGAUCAGGUAGGGAUACCCGCUGAACUUAAGCAUAUCAAUAAGCGGAGGAA